rnacentral:rRNA from 1 species
ACGGCAGCACANNGAGAGCUUGCUCUCUGGGUGGCGAGUGGCGGACGGGUGAGGAAUACAUCGGAAUCUACUCUGUCGUGGGGGAUAACGUAGGGAAACUUACGCUAAUACCGCAUACGACCUACGGGUGAAAGCAGGGGAUCUUCGGGCCUUGCGCGAUUGAAUGAGCCGAUGUCGGAUUAGCUAGUUGGCGGGGUAAAGGCCCACCAAGGCGACGAUCCGUAGCUGGUCUGAGAGGAUGAUCAGCCACACUGGAACUGAGACACGGUCCAGACUCCUACGGGAGGCAGCAGUGGGGAAUAUUGGACAAUGGGCGCAAGCCUGAUCCAGCCAUACCGCGUGGGUGAAGAAGGCCUUCGGGUUGUAAAGCCCUUUUGUUGGGAAAGAAAUCCAGCUGGCUAAUACCCGGUUGGGAUGACGGUACCCAAAGAAUAAGCACCGGCUAACUUCGUGCCAGCAGCCGCGGUAAUACGAAGGGUGCAAGCGUUACUCGGAAUUACUGGGCGUAAAGCGUGCGUAGGUGGUCGUUUAAGUCCGUUGUGAAAGCCCUGGGCUCAACCUGGGAACUGCAGUGGAUACUGGGCGACUAGAGUGUGGUAGAGGGUAGCGGAAUUCCUGGUGUAGCAGUGAAAUGCGUAGAGAUCANGAGGAACAUCCAUGGCGAANGCAGCUACCUGGACCAACACUGACACUGAGGCACGAAAGCGUGGGGAGCNNNAGGAUUAGAUACCCUGGUAGUCCACGCCCUAAACGAUGCGAACUGGAUGUUGGGUGCAAUUUGGCACGCAGUAUCGAAGCUAACGCGUUAAGUUCGCCGCCUGGGGAGUACGGUCGCAAGACUGAAACUCAANNNAUUGANNGGGCCCGCACAAGCGGUGGANUAUGUGGUUUAAUUCGAUGCAACGCGAANAACCUUACCUGGNCCUUGACAUGUCGAGAACUUNNCAGANANGGAUCGGUGCCNNNNGGAACUCGAACACNNNGCUGCAUGGCUGUCNUCAGCUCNUGUCNNNAGANGUUGGGNUNAGUCCCGCAACGANCGCA